CUAUCUCCGGAGUGCCGGCUUGUAGGGAGCGACCCUCACAAGCAUGUGCGAAUGAGCACAAAUGGCAAGCAAGCAAUGAUCUGUCUCAAGUACCAAGUCCUCAUGUCUAAAAACAUGGAAUAUGUCAAGUAUCACAAUGGCCUAUCUCUAUGUCGUCAUGUCUCUAACAUGGAAUAUAGCAGAUACGUAAUGGCCUAUCAAUAUGUCUCUAUGUUGCAGUUUAAAUGUUUACUAGUUCCAAGUGCCUCUUGAUGACACUUUUUGCUACUAAGUUCAAACAUAGUAUAAUGUUUCCCAUACAUGAACAUGAGCUAAAUGAGCAUACUAGACGAGAAUCCCAUUCGUC
rnacentral:lncRNA from 1 species